GGCCACUAGAUUCUGCAGUUGCCGCGCUCCUGCAUCUGAGCCCGCCGCUGCUGAGCAGCGCUCCUCCCCCCACCCUGCAGCUCUUCCAACCAGCCACCAUCACCAUCUCAGACGACUCCCUGGCGCCGGAUCUGCCGGCUGUGGAGCAAGUGCAGGCCUCUGACGGCCCGCCUGCGGAGGAGGCCCCGAGGGAGACGGUCGAUGUGGCCCCCGUUGCCCCGGCUGCCUGCCCCCGCCGUAGCUCACGCAUCUAGAAGAUGUACGACGGGGUCUUCCUGGGGUCCGUCGAGCGCGCCUCCAAGCACAAGGCCUCGUCCAGCCCGUCUGACAGCGGGGCAGCCCGGCGCCGCUCGCCUGGCCGUAAUCGGGGAAAGACCACGAAGGCCGCCGACGUCCUCGAGCUCCCCCUCCGCGAUACGUCAAGACCGCUCACCCGUGGCAAGGCCAAGCUCCUUGCUCGCUGCUGCGAUUUGAAUGAAGCGCUGGUCUUCGCAGAUGCCUCCCCCCUGCCGAAUCGGGUGAGGCUUCUGCCUCCUCUGAGUCCAAUGGAUCAACCCAUGGAUAGUUGCCCUGUUGGAGAUGUCUCUGCUCAGCUUCUUUAUUGCUAUAGUUUGCCAGUAGCUUGCGUCUGUUGUGGCCUGAAUCUGCAUUUUCCUAGUAGUCUGCAUGUAGUAGC
rnacentral:rRNA from 1 species